rnacentral:rRNA from 1 species
AUUGGAUCCAGACUUUGAUCAUGGCUCAGGAUGAACGCUGGCGGCGUGCUUAACACAUGCAAGUCGAGCGAAGCAGUUAAGUUGAUUUCUUCGGAUUGAUUCUUGAUUGACUGAGCGGCGGACGGGUGAGUAACGCGUGGGUGACCUGCCCCAUACCGGGGGAUAACAGCUGGAAACGGCUGCUAAUACCGCAUAAGCGCACAGAGCUGCAUGGCUCAGUGUGAAAAACUCCGGUGGUAUGGGAUGGGCCCGCGUCUGAUUAGGCAGUUGGCGGGGUAACGGCCCACCAAACCGACGAUCAGUAGCCGGCCUGAGAGGGCGACCGGCCACAUUGGGACUGAGACACGGCCCAAACUCCUACGGGAGGCAGCAGUGGGGAAUAUUGCACAAUGGGGGAAACCCUGAUGCAGCGACGCCGCGUGAGCGAAGAAGUAUUUCGGUAUGUAAAGCUCUAUCAGCAGGGAAGAAAAUGACGGUACCUGACUAAGAAGCACCGGCUAAAUACGUGCCAGCAGCCGCGGUAAUACGUAUGGUGCAAGCGUUAUCCGGAUUUACUGGGUGUAAAGGGAGCGCAGGCGGUCUGGCAAGUCUGAUGUGAAAAUCCGGGGCUCAACUCCGGAACUGCAUUGGAAACUGUCAGACUAGAGUGUCGGAGAGGUAAGUGGAAUUCCUAGUGUAGCGGUGAAAUGCGUAGAUAUUAGGAGGAACACCAGUGGCGAAGGCGGCUUACUGGACGAUAACUGACGCUGAGGCUCGAAAGCGUGGGGAGCAAACAGGAUUGGAUACCCUGGUAGUCCACGCCGUAAACGAUGAAUACUAGGUGUCGGGGCACAAAAGUGCUUCGGUGCCGCAGCAAACGCAUUAAGUAUUCCACCUGGGGAGUACGUUCGCAAGAAUGCAACUCAAAUGAAUUGACGGA